CUCUCUCCGUCCUCCUCCCUCCUUUUCCCCUUCCCAUCACCUCUCUCCCUCCCUGCCCCCUCCCUUCCGCCCCCUCCCAUGCCUUCCCCCCCGCUCCCCUCCCGCCCCCACUGCCUGUUCUCCUCCCUCCUGUCCCCCCUCCCUGUUCCCCUCCCUCCCCUUCCCUGUUCCCCUCCUUCCCGCUCCCUGUUCCCCUUCUACAGGAGAAUGGAGAACAGGCGUGGGAAAUGUUCCCAAAACGGGGGACUGCGCAGAAUUAAUUCUUAGAAAUAGAAUGGCUGAGUUAGAGGUUAGGCAUUUAAAGUUGAGUUCCAUAAUGCCAAAUUGCAAAAAAAAAAAAAAAAAUUGUAGACCAAAAAGUUGUCACCCAAACCAACGACAUAGCCCAUAAAUCCGCUGGGGAGGAAAGGUUAGCUAGAUGGGCUGCGCAUCGGUCCUGUGGAACACUGCACAGAGAUGAGGAAAUCAAGGCGGAGAAAAGUUGGAGAAUGUGUCCAAAGUCACACCGCCGGCAGCCAAAAGAGCCCGGGGGCUCACUCACAGAAGACACAGCCAACAGCGAUUGCUCUGGGAGAGAGGACCGGGGAAAAGUUAGUGCUGUUCACCGUACACGUUGCGCGCUAGUUGGAAUGGCUUUCACCACGUGCAAGCACUGCUUUUGCAAAUGCAUGAUUCUAAACAAUGCUCACCAACCCAGCCUUCAGUACAGUCCUAAAGUAACAGCCCAGAAACACACACUUCAGCCAGGACCCUCCAUGCUGCCUCCCAGAGCAGCCCAGCAGCUGGACAGCCUGAUGCCCUGGGCUGGAUCAGCAAGUCCUGGAUGCCUUUUACCUGCACCCAGCUCAUCCUCCAGGCCGCAGGACACACAGACUCCCGACCCUGGACUGGGGGCCAGAAGCCACCGAGCUGGAAGGGACAAGAGGUCUCCUGGCCCACCAUGUUUGUUUUCCCAAUAAAGAGGUUCCACAGUGCCCCGUAGUCAGCCAUAGCAUUCACUCACAUCCUGGAGUGCCUGCUGCACACCGGCCUGCCCAGAGAGCACACGCUGCGAGGUAAGUGCUGCAGUUGAC
rnacentral:lncRNA from 1 species